rnacentral:misc_RNA from 1 species
GAUGAAGAACGCAGCGAAAUGCGAUACGUAAUGUGAAUUGCAAAUUCAGUGAAUCAUCGAGUCUUUGAACGCACAUUGCGCCCCCUGGUAUUCCGGGGGGCAUGCCUGUCCGAGCGUCAUUGCUGCCCUCAAGCACGGCUUGUGUGUUGGGCCCCGUCCUCCGAUCCCGGGGGACGGGCCCGAAAGGCAGCGGCGGCACCGCGUCCGGUCCUCGAGCGUAUGGGGCUUUGUCACCCGCUCUGUAGGCCCGGCCGGCGCUUGCCGAUCAACCCAAAUUUUUAUCCAGGUUGACCUCGGAUCAGGUAGGGAUACCCGCUGAACUUAAGCAUAUCAAUAAGCCGGAGGA